rnacentral:rRNA from 1 species
GGGUAGUUUGACUGGGGCGGUCUCCUCCCAAAGAGUAACGGAGGAGCACGAAGGUGGGCUAAUCACGGUUGGACAUCGUGAGGUUAGUGCAAUGGCAUAAGCCCGCUUAACUGCGAGAAUGACGGUUCGAGCAGGUGCGAAAGCAGGUCAUAGUGAUCCGGUGGUUCUGUAUGGAAGGGCCAUCGCUCAACGGAUAAAAGGUACUCCGGGGAUAACAGGCUGAUACCGCCCAAGAGUUCAUAUCGACGGCGGUGUUUGGCACCUCGAUGUCGGCUCAUCACAUCCUGGGGCUGAAGUCGGUCCCAAGGGUAUGGCUGUUCGCCAUUUAAAGUGGUACGCGAGCUGGGUUUAGAACGUCGUGAGACAGUUCGGUCCCUAUCUGCCGUGGGCGUUGGAAGAUUGAAGGGGGCUGCUCCUAGUACGAGAGGACCGGAGUGGACGAACCUCUGGUGUUCGGGUUGUGUCGCCAGACGCAUUGCCCGGUAGCUAAGUUCGGAAUUGAUAAGCGCUGAAAGCAUCUAAGCGCGAAGCGAGCCCUGAGAUGAGUCUUCCCUGACAGUUUAACUGUUCUAAAGGGUUGUUCGAGACUAGAACGUUGAUAGGCAGGGUGUGUAAGCGUUGUGAGGCGUUGAGCUAACCUGUACUAAUUGCCCGUGAGGCUUAACCAU